rnacentral:rRNA from 1 species
UUUGAUCCUGGCUCAGGAUGAACGCUAGCGGCAGGCUUAACACAUGCAAGUCGAGGGGCAGCGCGUUGUAGCAAUACGAUGGCGGCGACCGGCGAAAGGGUGAGUAACGCGUGAGCAACGUGCCCGUAUGUGGGGGAUAGUCGAUGGAAACGUCGCGUAAUACCCCGUAACAUAUUUCCCCGCAUGAGGAGAUAUUGAAAGAUUUAUUGCAUACGGAUCGGCUCGCGUGCCAUUAGGUAGACGGCGGGUAACGGCCCACCGUGCCGACGAUGGCUAGGGGUUCUGAGAGGAAGGUCCCCACAUUGGAACUGAGACACGGUCCAGACUCCUACGGGAGGCAGCAGUGAGGAAUAUUGGACAAUGGCCGGAAGGCUGAUCCAGCCAUGCCGCGUGCGGGAGGACGGCCCUAUGGGUUGUAAACCGCUUUUGCGAGGGAGCAAUAAGGUCUACGUGUAGGCUGAUGAGAGUACCUUACGAAUAAGCAUCGGCUAACUCCGUGCC